GGAGCAGGAACCUGGCACUCCAAUGUCUCAAUGACUCGCGCAGUAUUUGAUUCGUUCCACAUGUUAACUUAUAUAAUAGAGGAAGUGUCUCUCGAGUUGUGGCUCUCAGACUUAUCCCCCAUUAUCGUCUCAACAGUGAGAGUCACAACCCGAAGUAUGCGCCUGGCGUACGUAUUUCUGGCAUUGGUGCUCCUCCUCAAAGGCGCCAUGCCGGACUGUUGCCAUGCAGUGGUCGGCCUUAACCUAAGGCUUCAGUGUAUGGACUUCAAGCCGCCAAAGGCUCUUUAUUGCGGCAGAGGCCCUUGCAAUAUUUUUGGUUGCAGAUGUGAUGGCGGGUGCAUAGAAUUGGAAAGGUGAAAAUAAAAAUGCAGCAAAGUAAUUCUAAUUUGUUCCUAUAAGCCUAGACAAGGGAAUAUACUCGGUAAGUAAAUUUGGACUGCCAAAGGUCAU
rnacentral:lncRNA from 1 species